rnacentral:sRNA from 1 species
GCUGGGCACGGUGGCACAUGCCUGUAAUCCCAGAAGCUUGGGAGGCUGAGGCAGGAGGAUCUUGAGUUCAAAGCCAGUUUCAGCAAGUUAUCAAGGCCCUAAGCAACUCAGGAAGACCUUGUCUCUA